CCUGCGUAUUUUUCAACGUUAGAGCAGCAUGCUUCUGCCUAAGGCGUUUCUGUAACCCUUUAGGUUUACAACCUUGCAUCUAAAUUUUACCGGAUUGUUUAACGCGAAUAGACCACGGUAUUCCAAGGCAAGGUUGAAUUUACUAUGAUUCUGGUAACGAAAACGGCUAUUUUCGAGAUAUUAUUCUUCAGUACAGUAUGUGCCAUGCUUCAUGUUGAAGAUGAUUUCAUAGGUUUGCCAUUCGAACGCACCACCCGAGUACAAUAUUUCGGUGAUUAUUCGCCCUCCUACAGCAACAAUUAUUACUUUGGAUUGGCCAGACCAAAUCGCCCUCAGAGAACCGUUUGGCCUCGUCCAGGAUACCCUUCCUUCACAUUUGAUGCACAGAAGUGUGGGAGAACGACCUGCCCGCGAGGAACUCGAUGUGCCUCCUUCAAAGUCUACUGCUUCGGCGGUAAUUGUCCACUGGUGUACUACUGUCAGCCAACAAGUCGAGAGCACAUAAAUCCAUACCUGAAUUCUCGUUAUUUCUCUUGAGAAGAAUACGAAAUCAACAUAAGGACGUAUCGUUCUUCGUGCAGCACAAUAAAAGAGUAGCAUACUUA